UACGGGGGGAGCAAGCGUUGUUCGGAUUUACUGGGCGUAAAGGGCGCGUAGGCGGCCACCGCAAGUCAAUUGUGAAAUCUCCGGGCUUAACUCGGAAAGGUCAACUGAUACUGCGGGGCUAGAGUGCAGAAGGGGCAACUGGAAUUCUCGGUGUAGCGGUGAAAUGCGUAGAUAUCGAGAGGAACACCUGCGGCGAAGGCGGGUUGCUGGGCUGACACUGACGCUGAACUGCGAAAGCUAGGGGAGCGAACGGG
rnacentral:rRNA from 1 species